CAAAUUACCCACUCCCGGCACGGGGAGGUAGUGACGAAAAAUAACGAUACGGGACUCAUCCGAGGCCCCGUAAUCGGAAUGAGUAUACUCUAAAUCCUUAUACGAGUACCAAUUGGAGGGCAAGUCUGGUGCCAGCAGCCGCGGUAAUUCCAGCUCCAAUAGCGUAUAUUAAAGUUGUUGCGGUUAAAAAGCUCGUAGUUGGAUCUGUGUCCCGCUGCGUCGGUUCGCCGCCUGUCGGUGUUUAACUGGCGUGUAUGCGGGACGUCCUGCCGGUGGUGGUCCGGGGCCAGGCGGGUACGUAAGGUUCGGCCUGGCUUCACAGCUUGCGUCGUCCUGAAGGCCCGUUUGCGUUCCCGGCCGCCUUUUCGAUCCCGUCGCGAUGCUCUUAAACGGGUGUCGAGGCGGGCCGGCACGUUUACUUUGAACAAAUUAGAGUGCUUUAAGCAGGCCCUGUCCCGCCUGUAUGUUGUGUGCAUGGAAUAAUGGAAUAGGACCUCGGUUCUAUUUUGUUGGUUUUCGGAAUCUGAGGUAAUGAUCAAUGGAGACAGGCGGGGGCAUUCGUAUUGCGACGUUAGAGGUGAAAUUCUUGGAUCGUCGCAAGACGGACCGAAGCGAAAGCAUUUGCCAAGUAUGUUCUCGUCGAUCAAGAACGAAAGUUAGAGGUUCGAAGGCGAUCAGAUACCGCCCUAGUUCUAACCAUAAACUAUGCCUGCCAGCGAUCCGCCGAAGUUCCUCCGAUGACUCGGCGGGCAGCUUCCGGGAAACCAGAGCUUUUGGGUUCCGGGGGAAGUAUGGUUGCAAAGCUGAAACUUAAAGGAAUUGACGGAAGGGCACCACCAGGAGUGGAGCCUGCGGCUUAAUUUGACUCAACACGGGAAAACUCACCAGGCCCGGACACCGGAAGGAUUGACAGAUUGAGAGCUCUUUCUUGAUUCGGUGGGUGGUGGUGCAUGGCCGUUCUUAGUUGGUGGAGCGAUUUGUCUGGUUAAUUCCGAUAACGAACGAGACUCUAGCCUACUAACUAGGCGUACCCGGUAUCCACAAUCGUGCUACCGGCGAUAAACUAUCUUCUUAGAGGGACAGGCGGCUUCUAGCCGCACGAGACUGAGCAAUAACAGGUCUGUGAUGCCCUUAGAUGUCCUGGGCCGCACGCGCGCUACACUGAAGGAAUCAGCGUGUCUUCCCUGCCCGAAAGGGCCGGGUAACCCGCUGAACCUCCUUUGUGCUAGGGAUUGGGGCUUGCAAUUGUUCCCCAUGAACGAGGAAUUCCCAGUAAGCGCGAGUCAUAAGCUCGCGUUGAUUACGUCCCUGCCCUUUGUACACA
rnacentral:rRNA from 1 species